rnacentral:rRNA from 4 species
GACACGACUCUCGGCAAUGGAUAUCUCGGCUCUCGCAUCGAUGAAGAGCGCAGCGAAAUGCGAUACGUGGUGUGAAUUGCAGAAUCCCGCGAACCAUCGAGUCUUUGAACGCAAGUUGCGCCUGAGGCCAGCUGGCCAAGGGCACGCCCGCUUGGGCGUCAAGC